UAAUCCUUAUUUGGCUUUCAUGCUAUGUGAGAAUGUGACUACUGUAAUACUCGAUGGUUUGUAAAUGACUGUUCUUGCUCUCUGUGCCAAACUAUAGCAUUAGUCAGUGGUCACGUAUGCGUGGAACAGCUGCCAAGCAUUGUACAUCUCACAGAGGGAAAAAAUGUUACCAUCUCAUGUUACAUCCAUGCAGAUGAAGGAGAGAAAAUUUCUAAAUUCCUUGUGGAGUGGUUCAAGGAGGAGGCUGAGGGACAACUAAUCAAUGUUGGAAAACUUUCCAAGCUUAAAGGAAGGUUGCAUGAAAACACUAAUAGCAUUCAACACAGUGCAAGCCUUUCAUUUUACAUGCUCGAGCUAAAUGACACUGGCAGAUAUUUCUGCAAUUUUAUCUAUCGGAUUGAUCAUCAUAUACUGCAGCUACAUGCGAACGGCACAAGACUCAUCGUUCAAGAAGAGGUAACUGCAGACACGACUAUCGCCAGUACCACCGAAAAUACUCCUAAUAAUACUAGUGCUGAUACUGAGAAGGUCAUCACAGACAAUCUCCUUCUAACAUUUCUUCUUUCUCUUCCAUUAUUAUUAAAGUUUGUGGCAACUGUGUUCAUAUGCGUUUAUACUUUGUUUUCCUAUACAUCAAUUGUUAUUUCUUGCCGUUUUACAUAAAAAUCUUUUCAAAUGUCUCCAUAUGCCUUUUGUUUUUCACCGAACAGUGAUUCUUAUGACUCAUAAACGCCCACAGAUAGUUGUGCCAAAAGGUCCUUCUGUGCAUGAAUAUUACAAUAAUGACACUCCCUGAUGUAUGUUCUGACUAUGACCUCUCUCAAAUACAUCUUAAUUAUGAAAAAGGUGUCAAAUGUGUGUCAUUGCAUGCAAUUGGCUAUUGUUUCUUUUUUGCCCUUACAUGGGUAAAAAUUAAUGUUUUACUAAUAACACAAAUACUAAUGAAAACAAAGUACCGUUAGAGUUUCUGCCAGGAUUUCACAGUGUGUAGCUGUGUCCCACUGCCAACAAUAAGCCUUUAUAAGGUCAUGAUACAUGGAAGACCAUUUACUUCAGUUUGUGUCUGUUAUACAUAUAGAAAUGAUCUGGUGCCUCUGCCAGUGUUUCUGCCAAGAUGUAUUGAUAUUGUGUCUCUGUUGGAGAUUACUGAUAUUGACAAUAAACCUUGUUGAGUUUUAAUAAUAUGGAA